GACGAACGCUGGCGGCGUGCUUAACACAUGCAAGUCGAACGGUGAAGCGCCUUCCUUUUUGGUGGGUGUGGAUGAGUGGCGAACGGGUGAGUAACACGUGAGUAACCUGCCCCCUUCUUCUGGAUAACCGCAUGAAAGUGUGGCUAAUACGGGAUAUUCUGGGUCUGUCGCAUGAUGGGUCUGGGAAAGAUAUUGUUUCGGUGGGGGAUGGGCUCGCGGCCUAUCAGCUUGUUGGUGGGGUGAUGGCCUACCAAGGCGGUGACGGGUAGCCGGCCUGAGAGGGUGGACGGUCACACUGGGACUGAGACACGGCCCAGACUCCUACGGGAGGCAGCAGUGGGGAAUAUUGCACAAUGGCGCAAGCCUGAUGCAGCGACGCCGCGUGAGGGAUGGAGGCCUUCGGGUUGUGAACCUCUUUCGCCAGUGAAGCAGGCCUGCCUCGUUUGUGGGUGGGUUGACGGUAGCUGGAUAAGAAGCGCCGGCUAACUACGUG
rnacentral:rRNA from 1 species